rnacentral:rRNA from 2 species
AGUCGACGGCAGCACGGGGGCAACCCUGGUGGCGAGUGGCGAACGGGUGAGUAAUACAUCGGAACGUGUCCUGGAGUGGGGGAUAGCCCGGCGAAAGCCGGAUUAAUACCGCAUACGCUCUGAGGAGGAAAGGGGGGGAUCGCAAGACCUCUCGCUCAAGGGGCGGCCGAUGGCAGAUUAGCUAGUUGGUGGGGUAAAGGCCUACCAAGGCGACGAUCUGUAGCUGGUCUGAGAGGACGACCAGCCACACUGGGACUGAGACACGGCCCAGACUCCUACGGGAGGCAGCAGUGGGGAAUUUUGGACAAUGGGCGCAAGCCUGAUCCAGCAAUGCCGCGUGUGUGAAGAAGGCCUUCGGGUUGUAAAGCACUUUUGUCCGGAAAGAAAACCUCUGCCCGAAUACGGCGGGGGGAUGACGGUACCGGAAGAAUAAGCACCGGCUAACUACGU